AAUGUAGCACAACUUUAGACUUUUCAGUGCCCACUUGCUGAAUGAAUGCUGCAGACUGGGCACUGUGCUAAUCACAAAGAAAAUAAAGUUGGUACUGGAAUUAAAGGUCCGUUAGGCCAACUGCAGAAACACAAAUUGGGAUUGCCAUGCUAGAAGGGUAACGUGAGCAUCAGAUGGAAAAUAUAAACUCCAGUUUUGUUCACAACUUGAUCACAUGAACAUGUCGGAGGCAAUAAAUUGUGUCAUCAGAAGGAAUGUAAAUUUUUGUCUUAUUAACUUUAG